rnacentral:rRNA from 1 species
AUUGAACGCUGGCGGCAGGCUUAACACAUGCAAGUCGAGCGGGGGAAGGUAGCUUGCUACCGGACCUAGCGGCGGACGGGUGAGUAAUGCUUAGGAAUCUGCCUAUUAGUGGGGGACAACAUCUCGAAAGGGAUGCUAAUACCGCAUACGUCCUACGGGAGAAAGCAGGGGAUCUUCGGACCUUGCGCUAAUAGAUGAGCCUAAGUCGGAUUAGCUAGUUGGUGGGGUAAAGGCCUACCAAGGCGACGAUCUGUAGCGGGUCUGAGAGGAUGAUCCGCCACACUGGGACUGAGACACGGCCCAGACUCCUACGGGAGGCAGCAGUGGGGAAUAUUGGACAAUGGGGGGAACCCUGAUCCAGCCAUGCCGGGUGUGUGAAGAAGGCCUUAUGGUUGUAAAGCACUUUAAGCGAGGAGGAGGCUACUUUGGUUAAUACCUAGAGAUAGUGGACGUUACUCGCAGAAUAAGCACCGGCUAACUCUGUGCCAGCCGCCGCGGUAA